UAGCCUAGUAGUUAAGGCUAUGGAUCGUCAAUCUGUAGACGGCAGGUUCGAUUCCUGU
rnacentral:tRNA from 1 species